rnacentral:rRNA from 1 species
AAAUUGAAGAGUUUGAUCAUGGCUCAGAUUGAACGCUGGCGGCAGGCCUAACACAUGCAAGUCGAACGGUAGCACAGAGGAGCUUGCUCCUUGGGUGACGAGUGGCGGACGGGUGAGUAAUGUCUGGGAAACUGCCCGAUGGAGGGGGAUAACUACUGGAAACGGUAGC